CCUACGGGGGGCAGCAGUGAGGAAUAUUGGUCAAUGGUCUUGAGACUGAACCAGCCAAGCCGCGUGAGGGAUGAAGGUACAGAGUAUCGUAAACCUCUUUUGUCAGGGAACAAAGGCGGGGACGUGUCCCGGAUGAGUGUACCUGAAGAAAAAGCAUCGGCUAACUCCGUGCCAGCAGCCGAGGUAAUAUGGAGGAUGCGAGCGUUAUCCGGAUUUAUUGGGGUUAAAGGGUGCGCAGGCGGUCUGUUAAGUCAGCGGUCAAAGCCCGGGGGUCAACCCCGGCCCGCCGUUGAAACUGGCAGUCUCGAGUUGGAGAGAAGUAUGCGGAAUGCGCGGUGUAGCGGUGAAAUGCAUAGAUAUCGCGCAGAACUCCGAUUGCGAAGGCAGCAUGCCGGCUCCACACUGACGCUGAGGCACGAAAGCGUGGGUAUCGAACAGGAUUAGAUACCCGAGUAGUC
rnacentral:rRNA from 1 species